rnacentral:tRNA from 2 species
GAAGUGUUAGUAAAUUAUUACAUCACCUUGUCAAGGUGAAGUAGCUGACUGACCCUCAGCACAUUUCU